CGAUGGAGGGGGAUAACUACUGGAAACGGUAGCUAAUACCGCAUAACGCGCAAGACCAAAGAGGGGGACCUUCGGGCCUCUUGCCAUCGGAUGUGCCCAGAUGGGAUUAGCUAGUAGGUGGGGUAACGGCUCACCUAGGCGACGAUCCCUAGCUGGUCUGAGAGGAUGACCAGCCACACUGGAACUGAGACACGGUCCAG
rnacentral:rRNA from 1 species